AAGUCGUAACAAGGUUUCCGUAGGUGAACCUGCGGAAGGAUCAUUAACACGGAGGCUGCCGUGGCUUCGGUAUUCACCCCACUACCUUGCAAUCGCCUCGUAGGAAACUGCUGGGCAUCAAACGAACAACUGUUAACAAUGGAUAUCUUGGUUCUC
rnacentral:misc_RNA from 1 species